CUCUCUGGGUGGCGAGUGGCGGACGGGUGAGGAAUACAUCGGAAUCUACCUUUUCGUGGGGGAUAACGUAGGGAAACUUACGCUAAUACCGCAUACGACCUUCGGGUGAAAGCAGGGGACCUUCGGGCCUUGCGCGGAUAGAUGAGCCGAUGUCGGAUUAGCUAGUUGGCGGGGUAAAGGCCCACCAAGGCGACGAUCCGUAGCUGGUCUGAGAGGAUGAUCAGCCACACUGGAACUGAGACACGGUCCAGACUCCUACGGGAGGCAGCAGUGGGGAAUAUUGGACAAUGGGCGCAAGCCUGAUCCAGCCAUACCGCGUGGGUGAAGAAGGCCUUCGGGUUGUAAAGCCCUUUUGUUGGGAAAGAAAAGCAGCCGAUUAAUACUCGGUUGUUCUGACGGUACCCAAAGAAUAAGCACCGGCUAACUUCGUGCCAGCAGCCGCGGUAAUACGAAGGGUGCAAGCGUUACUCGGAAUUACUGGGCGUAAAGCGUGCGUAGGUGGUUGUUUAAGUCUGUUGUGAAAGCCCUGGGCUCAACCUGGGAAUUGCAGUGGAUACUGGACGACUAGAGUGUGGUAGAGGGUAGUGGAAUUCCUGGUGUAGCAGUGAAAUGCGUAGAG
rnacentral:rRNA from 1 species